rnacentral:rRNA from 14 species
UCUGUGGAGCCUCCCUUGAGAUACCACCCUUGUUCUGCUUGAUGUCUAACCGCGGUCCGUUAUCCGGAUCCGGGACCCUCUGUGGCGGGUAGUUUGACUGGGGCGGUCGCCUCCCAAAUUGUAACGGAGGCGCGCGAAGGUUGGCUCAGAGCGGUCGGAAAUCGCUCGUUGAGUGCAAUGGCAGAAGCCAGCCUGACUGCAAGACUGACAAGUCGAGCAGAGUCGAAAGACGGCCAUAGUGAUCCGGUGGUCCCAAGUGGGAGGGCCAUCGCUCAACGGAUAAAAGGUACUCUGGGGAUAACAGGCUGAUACCGCCCAAGAGUUCA